UUUUUUUUUUAAGUUUUCUAUUUUGAAAGUAUUUCAAACUUACAGAAAAGUUGCACACAUAGCACAACGAACUUUUUUUUCACCUGAGCAAUUUGACAGGAAGUUGCUGACAUGAUACCUGUGGUGGACAUUGAGAUGCACUGACCAGAUGCCCUUCAAGGAAGGACUUGUUGCCCAGCCGUGGGGAGAGUGCUCAGCACACAGCUGUCAGCUGUCAUUUCCUUCGGGGUUUGCCUCAUCUGCAGACAGCCACCUUGCCCAAGGAGAGGCUCCUUUCCUGGGCGGCCCAAAUUCAAUGGCUGAGCAAGGCAAGGAUAGAAAGGCCUGGCUAUUUCAGCCCUGUGAAGAACAACUUCAAUGGACUAUUUCUGCUCAAGAGCUCCCAGUGGGGUUAGCUGAGGCCUUAUCAGCCUGCAUCUCAGAUCAGAUUCUCCCUCUGCCCAAUCCUGUUUUCUUUCCCUCCCACCCAUGGGUAUUGAUCCCAAGAGCUCUCCCUAAUAAUUAUCCUGAACACUAAAGUCUGUCACAGAAUCUGCUUCCUGGAAAACUCAAACUGCCACAGUUGGAGCCAGGAGAGUUCUGAGAAAGCAGGUGAUAAGAUGGGGUUUUGGAGCUGAUCACUCACCACCCAGCUGGUAGAAGGACCUUGUCACAGUCAUAGAUGGAGCACAGAUAGUCCUUGGCACAAGGUGGUGGUCCAGUUAUUAAAACUUUCACCAGUGGUGAAUUGGGACGGUAUACUCGUGAAAGAGAAUGUAUUAGCUGGUGCAACAUAUGGAGGAAAUAGUAACUAUAAGGACAAUAGGAUAGGAUGGUUAGUGCUUAGCUCUAUUGAAGCUCUAGGAAAAGAAAACAGAAAGCUGAGAAAGUGACUAGCAGGCAACUGAAAGCAAAGUGUGAACACCAGAGGGUCUCUUUGGUGGCAUGUGAAGAGGCUUCCAUAACCUGCAGCGGGAGGGCCGAGAAAGCUGAGGACCAGACCGAACUAAGUGCAGCCAAGCUCCAAAGAAGGCUGGACUGAUGGUAGGAGAUGCUGCUAUAAAACUGAGCUCUUUAUUAGCGAUGGAGAUAAUACAAUCCCCAAAUAAUUGAGCCAUAUGGCAUCACGCAACGCUCAGAAACCAUGUGGACACAAUUAUGAUCAUGAGUGGCAAGAUCAAAGUGGCAAUCAGGGGCACCUGACCUGCAGAGCGGUGUUGACCCCAAAGGCACUUCCUAAU
rnacentral:lncRNA from 1 species